GACGAACGCUGGCGGCGUGCUUAACACAUGCAAGUCGAACGGAAAGGCCCUGCUUUUGUGGGGUGCUCGAGUGGCGAACGGGUGAGUAACACGUGAGUAACCUGCCCUUGACUUUGGGAUAACUUCAGGAAACUGGGGCUACUACCGGAUAGGAGCUCCUGCUGCAUGGUGGGGGUUGGAAAGUUUCGGCGGUUGGGGAUGGACGCGCGGCUUAUCAGCUUGUUGGUGGGGUAGUGGCUUACCAAGGCUUUGACGGGUAGCCGGCCUGAGAGGGUGACCGGCCACAUUGGGACUGAGGUACGGACCAGACUCCUACGGGAGGCAGCGGGGGGGAACAUUGCACAAUGGGCGGAAGCCUGAUGCAGCAACGCCGCGUGCGGGAUGACGUCCUUCGGGUUGUAAACCGCUUUCGCCUGUGACGAAGCGGGAGUGACGGUAAUGGGUAAAGAAGCACCGGCUAACUACGUG
rnacentral:rRNA from 1 species